AUAGUAUUACCUCCGUCCCAAAAAGUUUGUCUUAGAUUUGUCUAGAUACGGAUGUAUCUAGAUAUAUCCGUAUCUAGACAAAUCUAAGACAAGCUUUUUGGGAUGGAGGGGGUCUUUU
rnacentral:pre_miRNA from 1 species